CUGUGCAUGCACUUUUCUAUUUGGUGCUUGUAGACGUUAUGGGAAAGUUGUCUCUCUCCCUACAUCCCCCUCCCCCUUCCCCUUCUAUCCGUCUGUCAUGUGCUAGGGAUAUGCUCAUGCUUUGCACAGAGCAGCCGAAGCACGACUAAUGCAGGCAACUGAGUGUUAACGGCAAUUUUAAAGUAGUGCCCCCCCCCAUCAAAUAUCACGGCUGGGAUAUUUGAGGGGAACAGAUACCGCAUCACGGUUCACAGGGAGCCAUGUGAACACCGCUGCUCUCCCCCUGCUCGGGACGCUUUCUGGACGAUUGCUGUGAUUUCAAUCACCUCGAGGAAUGAUGGAGGAGAACUACGCAGAACUACAGGCAGGAAGUAGAGGUCAAGAUGACAUCUCUGAGAUUUUGCUGUCCAUUGGACCCACAUAAGGUUGGAUGGAGAUCUUGUGGAUUGUGACUCAGAAAUAAAUGGCACAAUGUGUGGAUUCUUCAGGCGUCAAGGAUAUUCAGCUGAGCUCAAAGGGUCAUCCUGAUCAACAAGAGGGGGCUGAAUUUCUUCAAAAUAAGAGCAUCAAGACCUCCAGUGAUAAGCUCUGUGAGCUUAACAUGAUCUGCAACCCUUGAACCUGCACUGUACUUUCCAUUGCUGUAUUUCUGUUAAUUGGCUGCAUAAUACUGCACUACUAGCAGGCCCAGAGUGGGGCCACUUUUCAGUCUGGGAAUUUCAGGCCCAAGAUCGGCUCACUUUAUCUAUAACUGUGUCAUAUACUGCUCUUUCUUACAUUAAAUAACUUUAAUUCA